GAUGAACGCUAGCGGGAGGCCUAACACAUGCAAGCCGAGCGGUAGAGAUUCUUCGGAAUCUUGAGAGCGGCGUACGGGUGCGGAACACGUGUGCAACCUGCCUUUAUCAGGGGGAUAGCCUUUCGAAAGGAAGAUUAAUACCCCAUAAUAUAUUGAAUGGCAUCAUUUGAUAUUGAAAACUCCGGUUGAUAGAGAUGGGCACGCGCAAGAUUAGAUAGUUGGUGAGGUAACGGCUCACCAAGUCUACGAUCUUUAGGGGGCCUGAGAGGGUGAUCCCCCACACUGGUACUGAGACACGGGACAGACUCCUGCGGGAGGCAGCAGUGCGGAAUAUUGGACAAUGGGUGCGAGCCUGAUCCAGCCAUCCCGCGUGAAGGACGACGGCCCUAUGGGUUGUAAACUUCUUUUGUAUAGGGAUAAACCUAGAUACGUGUAUCUAGCUGAAGGUACUAUACGAAUAAGCACCGGCUAACUCCGUGCCAGCAGCCGCCGCAG
rnacentral:rRNA from 1 species